UCCCGCUUGUCACGGGCAGUUUCCCUAGAGUUCCCGGCUUUACCCGAUGGCAACUAAGGAUGAGGGUUGCGCUCGUUGCGGGACUUAACCCAACAUCUCACGACACGAGCUGACGACAGCCAUGCAACACCUGUGUUUAGACCGGCCGAACCGAAGGACUUCCAUUACAAAGUCCAAAUCUAACAUGUCAAAGGGUGGUAAGGUUUUUCGCGUAGCAUCGAAUUAAACCACAUGCUCCACCGCUUGUGCGGGUCCCCGUCAAUUCCUUUGAGUUUUAAUCUUGCGACCGUACUCCCCAGGCGGAGUGCUUAACGUGUUAACUGUGUCACUGGCAAUUGCCAACAACUAGCACUCAUCGUUUACGGCGUGGACUAC
rnacentral:misc_RNA from 1 species